CUGAUGCAGCAUGCCGCGUGCAGGAUGAAGGCCCUCGGGUUGUAAACUGCUUUUGUACGGAACGAAAAGCCUGGGGCUAAUAUCCCCGGGUCAUGACGGUACCGUAAGAAUAAGCACCGGCUAACUACGUGCCAGCAGCCGCGGUAA
rnacentral:rRNA from 1 species